rnacentral:rRNA from 1 species
UACGUAGGUGGCAAGCGUUGUCCGGAAUUAUUGGGCGUAAAGCGCGCGCAGGCGUCCUUUAAGUCUGAUGUGAAAGCCCACGGCUCAACCGUGGAGGGUCAUUGGAAACUGAGGGACUUGAGUACAGAAGAGGAAAGCGGAAUUCCAAGUGUAGCGGUGAAAUGCGUAGAGAUUUGGAGGAACACCAGUGGCGAAGGCGGCUUCUGGUCUGUAACUGACGCUGAGGCGCGAAAGCGUGGG